rnacentral:rRNA from 1 species
CCUACGGGAGGCAGCAGUGAGGAAUAUUGGUCAAUGGGCGCGAGCCUGAACCAGCCAAGUAGCGUGAAGGAUGACUGCCCUACGGGUUGUAAACUUCUUUUAUAAAGGAAUAAAGUGAGGCACGAGUGCCUUUUUGUAUGUACUUUACGAAUAAGGAUCGGCUAACUCCGUGCCAGCAGCCGCGGUAAUACGGAGGAUCCGUGCGUUAUCCGGAUUUAUUGGGUUUAAAGGGAGCGUAGAUGGGUUGUUAAGUCAGUUGUGAAAGUUUGCGGCUCAACCGUAAAAUUGCAAUUGAUACUGGCAGCCUUGAGUACAGUUGAGGUAGGCGGAAUUCGUGGUGUAGCGGUGAAAUGCGUAGAUAUCACGAAGAACACCGAUUGCGAAGGCAGCUUACUAAACUGCCACUGACGUUGAUGCUCGAAAGUGUGGGUAUCAAACAGGAUUAGAUACCCGUGUAGUC